rnacentral:tRNA from 2 species
GUUAAUGUAGCUUAUCGCUAAAGCAAAGCACUGAAAAUGCUUAGAAGAGAACUAAUUCUCCAUAAACA